AGGAAGGAAGAGGGAGGCGGGUGGGGGUAACCCUAGCGCCGCCUCACUCUACGCCACCACCUACCCGCGCCUUCUUGGUCACGUCCCAUCGGUCUGGAAGCGGAUAACGCGGAGGAGAGGACGAAGCAUUAAAAGCUUCAUCCUUCUCUCACCAAAAAACAGCCAAACAAGACUUAAAGGUUGUGCCAACAAAAGGAAAAAGAGAAGAAACAAGAAAUAAAAGUCCAGGAAGGAGGAUGUAUGCAUAAAUUAAAACUUCACCAAGACUACACAAAGUCAAGAGAUAUAAAGUUAUGACAAAUUGUCACCAAGAUUCAUGACAAAGUAUCAUGUCAAUUUCUCACCAAGAUUGCAUGAUAUAUUGCCAUGUAAAAUUCUCAUCAAGCAGAUAUUAUAUUGAUAUUAUCUUGCAAUUUCUCACCAAAGUCUUGUAGGAAUUGUCCUAUAAAUAGGCACGUGUUUGUAGAAGAAAAGAAACCAAUCUUUCAUCUUAUUUACAUCCA